rnacentral:rRNA from 1 species
CCUACGGGAGGCAGCAGUGGGGAAUAUUGGGCAAUGGGCGCAAGCCUGACCCAGCAACGCCGCGUGAAGGAAGAAGGCUUUCGGGUUGUAAACUUCUUUUCUCAGGGACGAAGAAAGUGACGGUACCUGAGGAAUAAGCCACGGCUAACUACGUGCCAGCAGCCGCGGUAAUACGUAGGUGGCAAGCGUUAUCCGGAUUUAUUGGGUGUAAAGGGCGUGUAGGCGGGAGCGCAAGUCAGAUGUGAAAACUCAGGGCUCAACCCUGAGCCUGCAUUUGAAACUGUGUUUCUUGAGUGCUGGAGAGGCAAUCGGAAUUCCUGGUGUAGCGGUGAAAUGCGUAGAUAUCAGGAGGAACACCGGUGGCGAAGGCGGCCUGCUGGACUGCAACUGACGUUGAGGCCCGAAAGCGUGGGGAGCAAACAGGAUUAGAUACCCGAGUAGUC